rnacentral:rRNA from 1 species
GGGUUGUGAGGUUAAGCGACUAAGCGUACACGGUGGAUGCCCUGGCAGUCAGAGGCGAUGAAGGACGUGCUAAUCUGCGAAAAGCGUCGGUAAGGUGAUAUGAACCGUUAUAACCGGCGAUGUCCGAAUGGGGAAACCCAGUGCAAUUCGUUGCACUAUCGUUAACUGAAUACAUAGGUUAACGAGGCGAACCGGGGGAACUGAAACAUCUAAGUACCCCGAGGAAAAGAAAUCAACCGAGAUUCCCCCAGUAGCGGCGAGCGAACGGGGAGCAGCCCAGAGUCUGAAUCAGCUUGUGUGUUAGUGGAACGGUCUGGAAAGUCCGACGGUACAGGGUGAUAGUCCCGUACACCAAAAUGCACAGGUUGUGAACUCGAAGAGUAGGGCGGGACACGUGGUAUCCUGUCUGAAUAUGGGGGGACCAUCCUCCAAGGCUAAAUACUCCUGACUGACCGAUAGUGAACCAGUACCGUGAGGGAAAGGCGAAAAGAACCCCGGCGAGGGGAGUGAAAAAGAACCUGAAACCGUGUACGUACAAGCAGUGGGAGCACCUUCGGGUGUGACUGCGUACCUUUUGUAUAAUGGGUCAGCGACUUAUAUUCUGUAGCAAGGUUAACCGUAUAGGGGAGCCGCAGGGAAACCGAGUCUUAACUGGGCGUUAAGUUGCAGGGUAUAGACCCGAAACCCGGUGAUCUAGCCAUGGGCAGGUUGAAGGUUGGGUAACACUAACUGGAGGACCGAACCGACUAAUGUUGAAAAAUUAGCGGAUGACUUGUGGCUGGGGGUGAAAGGCCAAUCAAACCGGGAGAUAGCUGGUUCUCCCCGAAAGCUAUUUAGGUAGCGCCUCGUGAAUUCAUCUUCGGGGGUAGAGCACUGUUUCGGCUAGGGGGUCAUCCCGACUUACCAACCCGAUGCAAACUACGAAUACCGAAGAAUGUUAUCACGGGAGACACACGGCGGGUGCUAACGUCCGUCGUGAAGAGGGAAACAACCCAGACCGCCAGCUAAGGUCCCAAAGUCAUGGUUAAGUGGGAAACGAUGUGGGAAGGCACAGACAGCCAGGAUGUUGGCUUAGAAGCAGCCAUCAUUUAAAGAAAGCGUAAUAGCUCACUGGUCGAGUCGGCCUGCGCGGAAGAUGUAACGGGGCUAAACCAUGCACCGAAGCUGCGGCAGCGACACUAUGUGUUGUUGGGUAGGGGAGCGUUCUGUAAGCCUGCGAAGGUGACCUGUGAGGGUUGCUGGAGGUAUCAGAAGUGCGAAUGCUGACAUAAGUAACGAUAAAGCGGGUGAAAAGCCCGCUCGCCGGAAGACCAAGGGUUCCUGUCCAACGUUAAUCGGGGCAGGGUGAGUCGACCCCUAAGGCGAGGCCGAAAGGCGUAGUCGAUGGGAAACAGGUUAAUAUUCCUGUACUUGGUGUUACUGCGAAGGGGGGACGGAGAAGGCUAUGUUAGCCGGGCGACGGUUGUCCCGGUUUAAGCAUGUAGGCUGGUUGUCCAGGCAAAUCCGGAUAAUCAAGGCUGAGGUGUGAUGACGAGGCACUACGGUGCUGAAGUAACAAAUGCCCUGCUUCCAGGAAAAGCCUCUAAGCAUCAGGUAACAUUAAAUCGUACCCCAAACCGACACAGGUGGUCAGGUAGAGAAUACCAAGGCGCUUGAGAGAACUCGGGUGAAGGAACUAGGCAAAAUGGUGCCGUAACUUCGGGAGAAGGCACGCUGGUGUGUAGGUGAAGUCCCUGCGGAUGGAGCUGAGACCAGUCGAAGAUACCAGCUGGCUGCAACUGUUUAUUAAAAACACAGCACUGUGCAAACACGAAAGUGGACGUAUACGGUGUGACGCCUGCCCGGUGCCGGAAGGUUAAUUGAUGGGGUUAUCCGUAAGGAGAAGCUCUUGAUCGAAGCCCCGGUAAACGGCGGCCGUAACUAUAACGGUCCUAAGGUAGCGAAAUUCCUUGUCGGGUAAGUUCCGACCUGCACGAAUGGCGUAAUGAUGGCCAGGCUGUCUCCACCCGAGACUCAGUGAAAUUGAACUCGCUGUGAAGAUGCAGUGUACCCGCGGCAAGACGGAAAGACCCCGUGAACCUUUACUAUAGCUUGACACUGAACAUUGAGCCUUGAUGUGUAGGAUAGGUGGGAGGCUUUGAAGCGUGGACGCCAGUCUGCGUGGAGCCAACCUUGAAAUACCACCCUUUAAUGUUUGAUGUUCUAACGUUGGCCCCUUAUCGGGGUUGCGGACAGUGUCUGGUGGGUAGUUUGACUGGGGCGGUCUCCUCCCAAAGCGUAACGGAGGAGCACGAAGGUUAGCUAAUCCUGGUCGGACAUCAGGAGGUUAGUGCAAUGGCAUAAGCUAGCUUGACUGCGAGCGUGACGGCGCGAGCAGGUGCGAAAGCAGGUCAUAGUGAUCCGGUGGUUCUGAAUGGAAGGGCCAUCGCUCAACGGAUAAAAGGUACUCCGGGGAUAACAGGCUGAUACCGCCCAAGAGUUCAUAUCGACGGCGGUGUUUGGCACCUCGAUGUCGGCUCAUCACAUCCUGGGGCUGAAGUAGGUCCCAAGGGUAUGGCUGUUCGCCAUUUAAAGUGGUACGCGAGCUGGGUUUAGAACGUCGUGAGACAGUUCGGUCCCUAUCUGCCGUGGGCGCUGGAGAAUUGAGGGGGGCUGCUCCUAGUACGAGAGGACCGGAGUGGACGCAUCACUGGUGUUCGGGUUGUCAUGCCAAUGGCACUGCCCGGUAGCUAAAUGCGGAAGAGAUAAGUGCUGAAAGCAUCUAAGCACGAAACUUGCCCCGAGAUGAGUUCUCCCUGAGACUUUAAGUCUCCUGAAGGAACGUUGAAGACGACGACGUUGAUAGGCCGGGUGUGUAAGCGCAGCGAUGCGUUGAGCUAACCGGUACUAAUGAACCGUGAGGCUUAACCUUACAACGCCGAAG